GACGAACGCUGGCGGCGUGCCUAAUACAUGCAAGUCGAGCGGACGAAUCGAAAGCUUGCUUUUGAUUCGUUAGCGGCGGACGGGUGAGUAACACGUGGGCAACCUGCCCUGUAGACGGGGAUAACACCGAGAAAUCGGUGCUAAUACCGGAUAACACGAAAUGUCGCAUGACGUUUCGUUGAAAGACGGCGCAAGCUGCCGCUACAGGAUGGGCCCGCGGCGCAUUAGCUAGUUGGUGAGGUAACGGCUCACCAAGGCGACGAUACGUAGCCGACCUGAGAGGGUGAUCGGCCACACUGGGACUGAGACACGGCCCAGACUCCUACGGGAGGCAACAGUAGGGAAUCUUCCGCAAUGGACGAAAGUCUGACGGAGCAACGCCGCGUGAGCGAAGAAGGCCUUCGGGUCGUAAAGCUCUGUUGUUAGGGAAGAACAAGUAACGCAGUAACUGGCGUUACCGUGACGGUACCUAACGAGAAAGCCACGGCUAACUACGUG
rnacentral:rRNA from 1 species